GACGAACGUUGGCGGCGUGCCUAAUACAUGCAAGUCAACUGAAAUACCGGUAGCAAUACUGGUGUGGAGGUGGCGCACGGGUGAGUAACACGUAGGUAAUCUGCCUUCAGGUCUGACAUAACCCAUCGAAAGGUGAGCUAAUAUCAGAUGAUGCAGCGGCUUGACAUCAAGACAGUUGUUAAAGCUUCGGCGCCUGAAGAUGAGCCUGCGUCUGAUUAGCUAGUUGGCGGGGUAACGGCCCACCAAGGCUGCGAUCAGUAGCUGGUCUGAGAGGAUGAUCAGUCACACUGGAACUGAGACACGGUCCAGACUCCUACGGGAGCAGCAGUAAGGAAUAUUGCUCAAUGGCCGAAAGGCUGAA
rnacentral:rRNA from 1 species